AUUGAACGCUGGCGGCAGGCCUAACACAUGCAAGUCGAACGAGUGGCGGACGGGUGAGUAAUGUCUGGGAAUCUGCCUGAUGGAGGGGGAUAACUACUGGAAACGGUAGCUAAUACCGCAUACCAUCGGAUGAGCCCAGAUGGGAUUAGCUAGUAGGUGGGGUAACGGCUCACCUAGGCGACGAUCCCUAGCUGGUCUGAGAGGAUUACCAGCCACACUGGGACUGAGACACGGGCCAGACUCCUACGGGAGGCCGCAGUGGGGAAUAUUGCACAAUGGGCGCAAGCCUGAUGCAGCCCUUCCGCGGGUAUGAAGAAGGCCUUCGGGUUGUAAAGUACUUUCAGCUAGGAGGCGUUACUCGCAGAAGAAGCACCGGCUAACUCCGUGCCAGCAGCCGCGGUAAUAC
rnacentral:rRNA from 1 species